GGGGAACUUCAUUCAUAUCAGCAGCAGAGAUGUCAGAUCUGUGGUAGAGAUUCUCUCUUUUCAACUCAUCACAAGAUUAUACGAAGGUAGGAUGUAAAUCAAUGCAGUGGAGAACAUGUAUGGAGCAUCACAGACUGCAGAAUAAUUAAACAAAUGGACAAAAGAGAAAGAGAAAAAUGGCGAACAAAAAGGACAAAAAGUUACAAUGUAAUGAGUUGAAAAAGACGCUGAGACUAGAUCGACAAAACAGCAUUAAUAGUGGCAAACCAAACUUUUCUGACAUUGCAGCGUUUCAGAAGAGUCACAGACGAGAAAGCAGCAGUUUUAUUCACCUAACCAGCAAAAUAUUCUCCAUCAUCUUCAGUCACUGAUUAAACAAUAUAUAUUUUAGCAUUAUUAUUUAUUAUAAUAAUACAGAUGCAUGUAAAAUCAACAAAUAUGAAGUCCAUGGUUAAGAAAGACACUGUUACAGAAUAGACUAUAUAUAAAUGUAAAAUCCAUUUAUAAACAUUCAUCUUAUAUAUAAGAUGAAGGUGUAUAAAUGGAUACUAUAUUUAUAUAGAUAUUGUAUUUAUAAGUGCAUUUCAUGACUACAGUACUUUUUUCUGAAUGAAUCUGACCUGUUUUUACUGUAUGUGUAGCCACUUAAAACAGAUAGUUUUUUUUAGAAUUAUUUUUACUGUAACAAAUGUGUACAACUUCAAUAAACCUGUUCCAAACCUCUUGUAAAAAAUAAAUACAAUUUUUUUUGUGUGUUAA